rnacentral:rRNA from 1 species
AAAAAAUGUAAAUUUAAUCUAAAGUAGUAUUUGUUAAGUUCUUGAAAUUUAAAGAUUUUGGCGGUAUUUUAGUCUUUUCAGAGGAACCUGUUCUAUAAUUGAUAUUCCACGAUUAAUUAAACUUAAUUUAGUAAUUUAUAUAUCGUCGUAGUUAGAAUGUUUUAAAAGAAUUUAACAUUCAAGAAUUAAUAGAUUAAUAUAAAUCAGAUCAAGAUGUAGUUAAUAAUUAAGAAGGUGAUGGGUUACAAUUAAUUUAUUAUUGGAUUAUUUUUUGAAAAAUUUUAUGAAAUUGGAUUUGAAAGUAAUAAUUUUUAUUUAAUUAUUAUGAGUUAGUUCUAAAAUAUGC